UCUCAACUCCACACCUUUCUAGAUUGUUGUUUAGUGGUUGAUACAAUACUCAGUUUGGUGGUUUCCUUUUGUUUUUGCUGUAGAGAGUGGAUGUUUCAAAAUGGUGUGGACAGUUUGAGAAGCAAUAGAUGUUUUUUAAGUCCUAGAGAAGUCUAUAUCAAUUGUGAGGAUUUGAUGAUUGUCAACAAGCGUUGGAGCAGACUACGGACACGCGCAGUGUUCAAGACAAUGUGUGUGCCUUGGGAAGCACACGCUGAGACUUCAAGAUGAGCUCUUCCCGGUCCUCUAUCUCGGCUUGUGCGUUUGUCAUUUAUUUUGCUUGUGUGGUGUUGUCUGUUUGGCAAAAAUGCCAAAACCAGCGAUGAUGUUGGACAAAGCCUGUUCUUCUUGGUAUAUAUAUUAAAUAGAUUUUCUAUGGCCCCUAAUCCACUUCUGUGGAGUUCGACAAAUUCAUCGUGGGAACCGUUAACAAUUCACGUUCGAUAGGUUGCUGAGUGUCUGCUUGUCUUAUGUCUUUAUUUUGCAUCGCUAUUGAUAUGUUGUUUUGCUUCAUUAUUUACUGCUUCCUCUUGUUUGUUGACCGGCUAUUGGUUGCAUUACAUUUGUGUGCUCUGCAUUCUCCACUUCUAUGUCAUGAAAAGAUUAUUGAUUAAUAAAAUAGAAUGUUUUCCUAUGCCUCUUAUAGUCUAUUCGCAUGUCCUAUCAUCCCAUCGUUCUUCCUUUUUAUUGCUUUGCUUGUUGUUUCUUACACAUGUGUAGAUUAGCUGAAGGGUUUGUUCUACUCUGUUCCCUGAAUCCUGUGAACCAUUGUAAUUUCUGCCAUGUUUUUCUUCUUCUUCAUUUUCAUGUGGAAGUAUUUGAUAUCCUGGGGAUGGAUGAUUUAUUAGAAGAAUGACCCAAAAAAUUUGAAUCUCGUGGUACAAGAAUCAGCAUGAAUGCUGAAACAUUGUUUUUUGCUGAAGAUAAGGUGCAGAUUGGAUCAAGCGUAGAUGCGAACGGUGUAAAUUGAUGGAUAGUGGUGUGCGACAACGGAAGGGAUGACAGUGGCGUGGCGGUGGUAUAUGGCAACAUCGAUGAAGAUGGUGCGGCGGCGGUGUGACAACUUGUGAACAGAACUCGAAACUCUAAAAAACUAUACGCUAAGACCAGCAACUUGACACGACGAUGCAACCCAUAAUUCAACUAUGCAAGCACUAAAAAGAAAACUGCACAGGCUCAGACUGGCUUGGACAAAGUAUGACUAGAUCUAACUCUUUUUGUGGUUUUUCUUGGGUAAUAGGUAAGAAAAAUAAAUCUAAUAUAGGGACAACUGGAAAUUCUCAGCGAGCAACCUCAAAACUGAUACCACUUGAUAGGACCAUAAAGGCGAGGGUCCCGAUCUUUCGAUGAGAUGAUAACUAUCGAUUUGAUGAAGACGACUUUGAUGAUACA